rnacentral:misc_RNA from 1 species
CCGAGUUCUCGAGCUUCGGCUCGACUCUCCCACCCUUUGUGAACAUACCUCUGUUGCUUUGGCGGCUCUCGGGGCCUCGCGGCCUCGCGUCCGCCAGAGGACCUUCAAACUCCAGUCAGUAAACGUCGACGUCUGAUAAACAAGUUAAUAAACUA